rnacentral:lncRNA from 1 species
AACCCUUCUUAAGAUCGUAAGCAGCCUCUUCAAAGCCCAUUGGGCAUGGUAUUCGACCAAUAGGGAUGAAGUUCCCCAUUCCUUGCCUUCAUCCGACCAUGCCUUGCUUUCAUCCCUCCCAAUUAGCUUCCUACUAGUUUAGAUUUUCAUCCUUAGGUUUCCACCUUUUCCCAAGGUUUCAUACUAAACAUUUAGGUCCUAUAUAUAUAUAUAUAUAUAUUAAUGUCAAAAUCAAAAGAAAUAAAGAAACAAAGUAAAGUUUCUUAUUCCAACUCCUUUUAAUUUAAUCUACUAG